rnacentral:rRNA from 1 species
CCCGCACAAGCGGAGGAACAUGUGGUUUAAUUCGAUGAUACGCGAGGAACCUUACCUGGGCUCAAACGCCCGCGGGAAGUGGCCCGGAAACCGGGUCCGGCCAGCAAUGGCCGGCGGCGAGGUGCUGCAUGGUUGUCGUCAGCUCGUGCCGUGAGGUGUCGGGUUAAGUCCCAUAACGAGCGCAACCCCUACUGCUAGUUGCCAGCGCGUAAAGGCGGGGACUCUAGCGGAACUGCCGGCGUAAGCCGCGAGGAAGGUGGGGAUGACGUCAAAUCAGCACGGCCCUUACGUCCAGGGCUACACACGUGUUACAAUGGCCGGUACAGGAGGGCAGACCACCCCGCGGAGGGGGCGCGAAUCUCAAAAAACCCAUCAUAGUCCGGAUUGCAGUCUGCAACUCGACUGCAUGAAGUUGGAAUCGCUAGUAAUCCCCGGAUCAGCAUGCCGGGGUGAAUACGUUCCCGGGCCUU